rnacentral:rRNA from 1 species
UAGGGAGGAAAAGAAACCAACAGGGAUUGCUCUAGUAACGGCGAGUGAACAAGCAAAAGCUCAGUUUUGAAAGCCUCUUCGGAGGCAUUGUAUUCUGAAGCCUAGAUUCUGGGAAACGGUACUUAAGUCUUCUGGAAAGGAGCGCCACGGAGGGUGAUAGCCCCGUACGGUACUGACCCCAUUGUAGUUUCUAGGCGUGGAGUCGAGUUGUUUGGGAAUGCAGCUCAAAUGGGAGGUAUGCUCCUUCUAAAGCUAAAUAUUUGCGAGAGACCGAUAGCGAACAAGUACUGUGAAGGAAAGAUGAAAAGAACUUUGAAAAGAGAGUGAAAUAGGACGUGAAAUUGUUGAAAUGGAAGGGUAGGCCGCUAACCAUGUAGGACCGUGUUUGAGGGGAAGAUAAAAGCUUCGGAAUGUGGCUCCUCGGAGUGUUAUAGCCGAAGUCAAUGUUCCCACUCGAGCGCGAGGAUCUCAGGUUCUACUAAAUGGUGGUCUACCACCCGUCU